rnacentral:tRNA from 1 species
GGGGUAGUAGCUCAGUUGGGAGAGCGCGUCGUUCGCAAUGACGAGGUCAGGGGUUCGAUCCCCCUCUACUCCACCA